rnacentral:rRNA from 1 species
AUGGAAAAGAAAAUGUUAGCUGCUCAGCGAAAGGAAAGAGUCCAAGACAGAAUGUAUCAAGGAAAACAAAGAGGAGGAUGUCAUAUGGUGAAGGAACUAACUUCUGGGUUUACAGCUGCAGUGGAGGAAGAGCAAGGAGAGGAGCAUGGUCAGAGCAGUGAAGAAGAGGGUGAUGUUCAGGAUGAGUUAACAGAUGAGGAUUUUUAUGAGAGAGACUUUGAUGUCCAAGAUGGUGACGAUGACAUGUUUGAUGCACAUGUUGACAAAAAUGUAGAUGACCACAUAGAGAAGACUGAAUUUUCUGACUAUGAAGCAGAACUCCUAGAAGAUGCACUGGAGGACAGUCAUUUGAAUAUGUCAAGAGAAGAGAAAGAGAAGUUGAAGCAUAAAUUCAGUGUUUUCAACCCUACCACAGACCUGAACGCACUAGUGUUUAAGCUAGGUAUGGUAUUUGCAGACAUGAUAGAGCUGAGACAUGCUCUCAAUGCAUAUAGUGUCAGAAAUAGAGUGAAGGUGAGGAAGCUCAGGAAUACUAACAGGUCAUUAGAGGCAGUAUGCAAGGAUGAUUGUACUUGGUACUUGAAGGCAGGCAAGGACAAUAGAUCCAGCAGCAUUCAGAUCAAGAAGUAUACUGACAAACAUACUUGCACCAAAGCUUGGGAUCUGAAAGUGCUUACUGCUCCCUUUCUUACUAAACAGUUCAGAGAAGAGUUCAGAGGCAAUGAGAAAAUGCCCUUACUGAAAUUUUCAGAGAAGGUGGAACAAGAAUUUAACUUAGUUGCUCACAGGAGUAAGUUGGGAAGGGCAAGAAGAGCAGCCGUUAAAGAAAUCAGGGGAGAAGAUGAUGAUCAAUACAACACUUUAUGGGACUAUGGGCAGGAGUUGAGAAGGAGCAAUCCAGGAAGCCUAUUUUUCUUGUGCACAAAGGAAGUGUUUGAUGACAAGGCCAAGGUCACAAAGGACCACUUCUCAACAUUGUACUGGUCUUAUGAUGCAUGUAAGAGGGGUUUUUUGAAGGGUUGCAGACCAAUAAUUUUCCUUGAUGGUUGUCACAUCAAAACAAGAUAUAAGGGGAAUAUAUUGACAGCAGUUGGGAUUGAUCCAAAUGAUUGUAUCUUUCCUAUAGCAUUUGGCAUAUGUGAAGUGGAGUCAACACACAGUUGGGAGUGGUUUCUAGCCUCUUUGAAGGAUGACCUGAAUAUAAUCAAUACAUCAACAUUCACCAUUAUGAGUGACAGACAGAAGGGUUUGACGAAUGCUAUGAAGAAAGUUUUCCCUGAUUCAGAACAUAGGAACUGUGUUAGGCACAUUUACCAAAAUUUCCACAAAGUACACAAGGGUGAACAACUGAAGAAUGACCUCUGGGCCAUAGCAAGAUCCACUAAUGAAGCUGCCUACACCAGAAACAUGGAUAAGAUGAGAGAUCACAGCUUUGCAGCAUUCAAUUGGGUUGAGAACUUGUCCCCAAGAACUUGGAUCAAAGCUUUCUUUGACCCUUUCUGCAAGUGUGAUAUAUUGCUGAAUAACAUGUGUGAGGUGUUUAACAGCUACAUUUUGGAUGGUAGAGAGUUGCCAAUUAAAUCAAUGCUGGAUUACAUCUUCUGGAAGACUUCAAAUAGGAUGGUUGGUAAGCAAAGGGAGGCAGAAAAGUGGACAGGCAGGCUUUGCCCCAAGAUACAGAAGAAGCUGGACAAGUAUGUUGAGUGGGCAAAAAAUUGCAGGGUGAGGGAGUAUGGAAGAGGUGUAUUCCAGGUUAUCUCAUUAAACAACACUUACAUUGUUGAUCUGAACAUGUUGAGCUGUAACUGCAAAAGGUGGGAAUUGUCUGGUAUACCUUGUCAUCAUGCAAUUGCUUGUUUUAGGCAUGAGAGAAUUGAGCCUGAGAGCAUGGUCCAUUCAUGCUACACUAUUGAGGAGUACAAGAAGUGGUAUGGCUUCAAUAUGAGGCCAAUGAGGGAUCCAGAGGAAUGGGAAAAGAUGCAUGGCAAUCCUGUUUUUCCACCCAUAUACACCAAAGUAAUGGGCAGGCCCAAGGAAAGUAGGAAAAAAGAUCCAGAGGAGAAGAAGGAUAAGAAAGGAGUUAGGAAGUUGACCAAGCAUGGUGUUAGCAUGCAUUGCUCUGUUUGUGGGGGCGCUGAUCAUAACAAGAAAGGGCAUUACAAACACGUGAAUCAACCACCUACCGAGGAAGCACCUGGGGAAUCAGAAGAAGAAUACAAUGAUCCAAGCAUAAUUGCUAACAUUAUGCCACACAGAGUUUACCCACAGUUUGAUCCAACACAAACUCCAGAUUCUAUGGUUUACAAGAUGCGGGAAAGGGAAAAAUUUACAUACCCUGCACCUAUGGACUUUGGUCCCCUGCCUGAGUCUAGCUUUAUUGCUAAUGCUAGGGACACAAUCCCUAUAGGCAGGGUGACAACAGCCAUGUCCAGGGGCAGGGUGAGAGGAGGAACAAGUGGAAGCAAUGCAACAAGAGGAGGAAGAAGUGCAAGAAAUGCAACAAGGGGUGGUAGAAGUGGUACCAAUGCAAGAAGGGGAGGAAGAAGUGCAAGCAAUGCAACAAGGGGCGGCAGAAUAGUAAGCAAUGCAACAAGGGGAGGAACUGCUCCAAGUGCAACUAGAGGUGGCAAUUACCCAAGUGGAAGUAAUCCUCCCAGAGGAGCAAGGGCUGCUGCUCCAUGA